rnacentral:rRNA from 1 species
AUUGAACGCUGGCGGCAUGCUUUACACAUGCAAGUCGAGCGGCAGCGCGGGGGCAACCCUGGCGGCGAGCGGCGAACGGGUGAGUAAUGCAUCGGAACGUGUCCGGAAGUGGGGGAUAACCCGCCGAAAGGCGGGCUAAUACCGCAUAUUCUCUGUGGAGGAAAGUGGGGGACCGGAAGGCCUCACGCUUUCGGAGCGGCCGAUGUCCGAUUAGCUAGUUGGUGGGGUAAUGGCUUACCAAGGCGACGAUCGGUAGCUGGUCUGAGAGGAUGAUCAGCCACACUGGGACUGAGACACGGCCCAGACUCCUACGGGAGGCAGCAGUGGGGAAUUUUGGACAAUGGGGGCAACCCUGAUCCAGCCAUGCCGCGUGCGGGAAGAAGGCCUUCGGGUUGUAAACCGCUUUUAGCCGGGAAGAAAAGGCGCGGGCGAAUACUCCGCGU